ACUGUGUGGGGUUUGGGUGUGACAGCUCAGGUGUCCUUGGAAACACAUAUUGACUCAUUGGAACACAUUUGGAAGGAGACAUACUUCUGAACCUGUGGCAUAACAAGACAGGUUUAUGAUGUCAUCAGUCCUGGCCGUUGUCUCUCUCCUCCUCUUGCAGACAGGGGUCCAUGGGUUCCUGGUGCUCUUCUCAGGCAGCUCCAUGGACCACCUGGAGAUCACCAGGGAAGCCAUCUUACAGACCACGGCGAAGGUGUGCAUGCAACUGGCCUCGGUUGAGGGAAGAGACUUCACUCUGCCGCCCGGACCACUGACUGCAGAGUCUCUGGCUCUAGCCUGCUCCUCAUCGGGGUCUGCUAAGAGUUUCCAGAGUGCCAUAUCAGACGUCACCUGGAGAAAUGCCGGAGUUGACUUCCGUCACCUGUUCAAUGAAGAAUACCACUUUGAUGGGGAGAGAUUUAUCGAGGGCGGAAACUCAUCAAAGAUGGAAUGACCUCUGUCAAAGCCAGCAUCAAGCAAGGGAACUUUGAGGCAGCAAGACAGAAGCUGGGAGACAUUUUACACACCUUACAGGACUUCUACAGUCACAGUAACUGGAUAGAACUGGGUAACAGAUUUCCCCAUUCCAAUCUCAUCAGAUCAGACGUGUCCGACAUCGGCCCUGUUGCAGGUAUUGCGACGACAUGUGUCUGGGUGUGUAUGUUAACGAGGGGGAGUAGUUUGAAAAGGGCUGAAUGAGUUUGAAGAUGUCUCAUUGAGUACAGAGUAGUUUGAAGAUAGAUGGCUAUUUGCCAACUAAAACAUGUUGAGGUUGAAUGUUAAUUUGAAGAGACAAGGGGUCUAACGUUCACGUUCGCCAACGUUCUUUAAACAUUCAACAGUUUUGUCAAUAGGUGAUUACCAAAGGGAGUAGUGUGCAGAGGAUGCCAAGAUAGAUGCAGAAAGUGUUUACUCAACUCAGGACAACAAACUGAUACAGAUCAGUGCACUAUGCUGCUGAAAGAACAGCCACAUGCCCAUUGUUAGAGUUUCUUAGUACUGCAUUGGUUUUUGACAAAAUAGAGUCAUGUUAUGUCUGUUGCUCGUUAUACAGAAACAGAAUGUUGGUCAAAUAUUUCCUUAUACAACAUACUGCCCUAGUAGAGGUGAUGUAAUGGUGCCUCAUGUAGUCACAACAUAUUGCCCUAGUAGAGGUGAUGUAAUGGUGCCUCAUGUAGUCACAACAUAUUGCCCUAGUAGAGGUGAUGUAAUGGUGUC